CUCAAUAAAUUCUCUCUCAACUUCACUAGUCUUCAUUAUCCAUUCUUCAAUUCUCUAACAACCUUCAUAUUUAUCUCUAAAAACUACAACUUCAUGAUAACAACUCUUCAUCAAAUUUUUUCUCCAAUCUCUCUGCAAUCCUCUAUCACCAGAAAAACCAGAAAAUUACCUGCACCUUUUCAACCUUCUACAACCUACUUUCAUCGAGGAAUCUGUAUCAAAUCAACAACACUUCCCUUCAAUCUUGACCGUGUCUUCAUCAACAUCCUAACUUCAAACAAUUGUCUACACUCUGCAAUCGCAACUAUACAAUCAACAACAACAACAUCACGAUAG